AAAGUCGUAACAAGGUUUCCGUAGGUGAACCUGCGGAAGGAUCAUUAUAAGAGUUUAUGCCCUUAAAGGGUAUACCCUCCAACCCUUUGUUUUAAUUGACUUUGUUGCUUUGGCGGGGUUUGUUUUUAAAAAAGCUUUCCACCUGCCAGAGGAAAUUAAAACUCUGAAUAUUUUGUUGUCCGAGCUAUAAUAAUUUUAUAAAACUUUCAACAACGGAUCUCUUGGUUCUG
rnacentral:misc_RNA from 1 species